rnacentral:rRNA from 1 species
GACGUAGGGCGCGAGCGUUGUCCGGAUUUAUUGGACGUAAAGAGCGCGCAGGCGGCUUGGUAAGUCGGAUGUGAAAUCCCGAGGCUCAACCUCGGGUCUGCAUCCGAUACUGCCCGGCUAGAGGUAGGCAGGGGAGAGCGGAACUCCUGGUGUAGCGGUGGAAUGCGCAGAUAUCAGGAAGAACACCGGUGGCGAAGGCGGCUCUCUGGGCCUUACCUGACGCUGAGGAGCGAAAGCGUGGGUAGCGAACAGG